UAGAGAGAGAAAUAGAAAUUGCAUUUAUUGAAUCAUCUAUCAAGGGUAGGAAAGGAUUAGAGUUUGAUUUUUAACACAAUUAGAAUUUCAAAAUAAAAAUACUAUUAGAGUAAGGAGAAGUUUACUCUACUUUUAACCCUAAAGAUAUAACUCACAUAUAUAGUACUCCUAUUAGUUAUUUCUCUUAAGUCAUUCAUUAGUCAUGGGGCUAAAAUAUAAGCACAUAAUAUUGAUGACAGCUCCUUCCAUGCUAUUCUGCUUUUGAUCAACACUAUUGGUUACGUUAACCGCUAUCCCUUUCUGCCUAAUUUAUAUCAGCAUUAUCGUUGAAACCUUUCUGUAAAAGGAAAGGGAUGGUAAGUAUAUUAUUAGAACCAAAGAUUAAGCACCAAGGUAAAAGCUACUCCGUGAAUAUGAUGAGUACAUGCAAAAUAGUCAGGAUUCCAAACACAGCACUAUAUUACCUUCAAAAAGUAACAAACACAAAUAAGUUGUGGAACCAUAUACAUAAAUAUGAGCUGGAUAGUAGUCUGAUAUGUAGAAUAAUAACUACUUACGUUGGGCAAAAGAUUGUGAUAGUAGAUUAAACGAAAAGUGGCUCCUAAAUGCACAAACGACACCAAAUGAUGAUUAUGAUAACAGAUUAAAUGAAAAGUGACUCCUAAAUGCACAAGCAUCACCAAUUUGAUAUAAUAUACAAUUCUCUUUAUAAUAAACCAGUCUGCAGGUAUAUUCUGAAAACAUGGUGUAUAAUGAACAAAGCACAGAGAAACAGAGUUAAGUGAUAAGUAAAAAAGCAAAGUACCUAACCACAACCAAUGAAAGUUAUUAUUUAUAUUCUGAUUGUUCAAAUCCCUACAACUUUGGAGCUAAGUGGGUUCAAAUGCCAAUACAAUUCCUAAUUAAUAAAGGAGACAAAAGAAAGUAGAAGUUAGUCACAGUGAAGGUGAAGUUGGUAAGAAUUUUGAUACAUAUACAUAUAGUCAGUGAUCUUACUUUUAAGAGACAGUAAAUGCUCCUCAUUUGUCCGGAGUUGAGAUUGACUGUGUUGCAGCAUAACUCCAAUUCUUUCUGAUUUUUCACAAAAGAAUCAGUAUGUAGAGUAUUCUACAACAGUUAAGUGACAAUGAAUCUGAUAGAAAAAGAAAGUUUAAAACAACCACCAAGUUUUUUAAGUACAUCACCAAGCAAGUGUCCAAAUGAUAUGAAUACAUGAGCUAUAACACAGUUUUUUAUUUUCUGUUAGUAAUAGUUAUAUUAUUCAUCAUGCAGUACUUAUAAUAUUCUAAAAUAUUGGCAUGAAAUAACCUAAUACUAUUGAUGCAAGAAAAUGCAUUUGGAUUAUCAAAUAAUAUUGAAGCAAGAAAAAGAAUGCAAGAUAGAUGAACAAAAUGAGACAGAGAUGGAAUAGACUAUACAUACCAUAGAAACAGUAAAAUCAAAUAGAUACAACAUUGAUCUAUUUGUUGCACAUCAGAAAACUUUUCCAUUUUUUAGAACAUACAAAAUUUAGCAAGGAUUUGCAAGCAAAUAAGUUAACCCUUGGUUAUUGCAUAGCAAAGGUGCAAAAAAGUUGUUUCAACAAGAAUCAUUAAAUGAACAAUAAACACACGGAUAAAGAUAAAAAUACCUCUGUAACAAUAUUAGAGUAACUUCUAGGACUAUGCAAAACCUCAAGCCAAAUUGCCAUGAAUUAUGUGAGCAUAGUACAGAACAGAAGUUGGGGCCAUCCUCUGGAACUAUUUAUGCAAAAGCUUUUUGAAUGAUUUCAUCAUAUACUAUAUUGUAAGUUGAAUGAUUAUCAUCACUAUCUGUUGUAGGUGGUCGAAUUAAUAGUUUUACACAAUUGGAACUUUUUGCUCUUGAUAGCGCUAAGUAGAGCUGACCGUGUGAAAAAAAUAGGUUCGCGUAAAUAAACUCCCACGAAGUCCAACGUUUGACCUUGAGCUUUAUUUAUUGUCAUAGCAAAAUAUAAUCUCAAAGGAAAUUGUGUUCUUUUGAAAGGAAUAGGCAAUUUUUCAUCUGCCGAUGAUAAUAAUGGUAUUCUAGGAAUAAAUACAUGUGUAUUCUUAAAGAUUUCAGUGGCAAUUUUAGCACUUAUAACAUGUUUUCGAAGAUCACAAGAUAUAAGUCGUGUACCAUUGCAUAAACCUUCACAGGGAUUUAAAUUUCGUAACAACAUAACAGGACAAUUCUUUUUCAAGGUUAAUUUAUGGGGAGGUAAACCAACAGGAUAUAAAGUAUGCAAAAAAUCUUCAUAUUGACUUUGAUCGUUUACUUCAAUAGUCUCAUCAAAUGCAACGUAUAAGAUCACCAGGAAAUUGAGCUAUGAACAAAUCAUUUAUUUCAUCGACAAAGUCAUUUUUGGUUGUCAGAAUUACACGAGAAGUCAUAGAAGAUGCAUCAGAAAAACAUGUAUGUAGAUUUGGAUAAGUAACUCUAAACAACAGAACUAAUGAUUGAUUUUCAGAAACGAAAGGGAUAACAAAACAAUCAGGGAUUUCAAUUUUGUCAUGGCUAUUUGUUUUUUCUUGUCCAUUUCCUAUUCUCAUCAAAUAUUCACAUAACGUAGGUGUGAGCACGUGAUUUUUUCCCUAUAUGAAUUACUCCCACAAAUUCAAAACAAAAAUAAUUUUUCCAUUGUUUGUAAUUUUGUGGAUUUUUGUGGCAUUUUCUGUUAUUGUUUGCAUAUUGUCUGUGCAUGUUUGUCUUAUUUAAUUAGUGAAAAUACAAAAAAAUAUGUUGCAUUUGCAUUUAAGAUUUAACUUUACAUUUUUAGGAAUUAAUUAGUAAUUAAGUUGUUUUAUAAAAGGAAAAUCACAAAAAAAAAGUUUAAUUUGCGCCUUUUAAUUUUAAUUUUGAUUUCGAGUAGUUUUCUUUUAAUUUGCUUGUUUAAUUAAUUGUGAUAAUUAAUAUUUAGGUUUAAUUAGUGUUUUUGAUAGGUUAAUUAGGUUUUAAGAUUUGAUUUAGAUUUUAAUUUAAUUUUGGAAAAAAGAAAAAGAAAAGAAUUUUUGGAAAAUUGAUUUGAAAUAAGGAAAAAGAAAUGAAGAGAUAGAAAUUUGGGAUGCUUUAAAUUAAUUUACCCAGGCCCAAUGACUUCCAUCCAAACCGGCCAACCCAACCCGUAUUCCACCCUGACCCGGUCCGUUCCCCCACUAAACAAAACGACCCAGUUUAGAUAGCCUAAUCAGAUCUCAGCCGUCUAUAUUAUCUAAUCUAACGGACGGGAACUGGGGGGGGGGGGGGGUUAAUAUAUAAGUGUCUGAAAUGUAACUCCCCCUAUCAAACUCGUCUCCUUCACCCCUCAGAGACUUCAAACCCUAAUAGCCAGCUACCCUGAAAUCCCACCACCAUCCGGUGGCGGCGCCACCCCCGUUCACCACCAAAUUAACAUCCUAGGACCCCUUCCCUCCCCUCAUUCCAAAUACCAACUCCACUUCCCUCGAAUCACUCUAGAAUCCCUCGAAUUUUAGAUCGAAGGGAUGAACCCUAAUUCCCAAAUAGUUCCUGAUUCGAGUUUGUUUGAAGAUUUGGGCCUAUUUUGAUGUUAUUUGUGUGUUCUUAUUAAGAACAUACGAUUAAUAUCAUAGUUGGCCGGAAAAUCCGAGAAGUUGAAGAUUCAGACUCCUUUCCUCAUUUGCUUGAGUCUCAAUAGGUAUUUUCUUUUCUUCUUUUCGGUUUAAUCUAGCUUUCAUUUUUCUUUUCUAUUUCUCUACAUCUGUUUCUUCUCCUAGAUUUCUUUUCCAUUUUUUAGUUUUCCAGAAUUUUUGUAUUUGUUUUUUGUUCAUGCAUGAUUAGUCCUACAUUUUUAGUAUCAUUAGCCUGUUAAUUAACUGAGUUUACUAAUUUAGUUAGUUCUAGUUAAUAAACUGUUUAACUUAAAUUUUAAUGGCUGCCAUGUUUGCAUGCUUCUGGUACUCCAGACUUUAAUUGGGCCAAUUGUUUGUUUGGGUUUUAGGAUCUCUGACUCAUUUAGAAGAGAAGGGCAGCCCGUUCACCUAGUUAACCCACUGGGUUUUGAAGGGUAAUAAACAGGGGUAUGAAGGAUAAUUUGGAGUAAUUAGGUAGGGGAAUCUAUUUGUAACUACUUGGGAAGCUUCUAGGAAGCUGGGGAGAGGAAUGUCUUGCAAAACUGAAAAUUGAACUAAGGGUAAUUAAGCUAAAAUGAAAAUUGGAGGAGGAUAGAAGGGCAAAUCUAAUUUCCUUAGUGCUGCCCUAUUCCCUUGCCUAUAAAGGCACAUUUUCUUGCCAUUCAAGGCAGAGUUUAAGAGAUAAAAAUUCAGAAAAUCCAAAAACGGCUAAAAAAUUCAUAAUAUCUACUAUUCUAUUGGUCUUUGAUCUCAUUCUGGAAAUUUCUCUUUUUCUGAAGUUAUCUAUGAUUCACCUGGGGCAAAAGAUGGCUUAGUUUAGUUUUUCAAAUACUGAUUUUGAGCUGAAUUUGGUGUUUGGAGUCUUGUUUCAAUUCGAGUUUGGGGAGGAUAAAAAUUCUGGAAAUCAAACGGCUAACAAAAAUACUGUUCUAUUGCUUUCUUCUACAAUUUUGAAGAUUUUCAAUCUCUGAAGAACUCCUCUUUUACCUGGGUGAAAAAAUAGUUUAAAGAGUGAAGUUGGUUGAAUUUUUGGAGGUUGCUUGAUUGAGUCUUACUGCUGAUUGUUGUUGCUGUAUCUAUUAGAUUGGUUUGGUUUUAAAAUCAUUCUCAAGGUCAUUUAUUCCUCUUUGCUGUAACAGGUACAUUCUCGAAUCCUUGCAAUGAAAAUGUAAAUGUUGAAUGAAAGAUGGUGUUUCAAUGUCCAAUUUCAACUCCCUUUUCAAAGUCUGAUCUUAGAAUUCUUGUUAGAUGUCUGCAAUUUAAUUGAAUUUGGUGUUGUCAUGUAGUAGCUUGUAACUAUAAAGUUUGGACUUUCAUUUUUUUAGUAGCUUCAUGUAUAUUGGAAUGAAUUUCCAGCUUUGUAAUGAGGGUCUGAUGGCAUGAUAUAGUGUGUUUGACAAUAGCUUCAUGUCUAAAUUGCUCUUAAAGAUGCUAAAAUGAUAUUGUUUGGUGCGAUUUGGGAAAUGGUGCAGAAAGUAGGAUGUUUAGAUAAUUGAUUUAAGUAUGAAUGUUUGAAAGAAAACAUGAUUAUUUGAUUAGAGUUUCGGUGACUACAAAUUUAUAGUGUUGCAAUGGUUAUCAUUUGGAUGUGCUUGACUUAAAACGGUUUGGCUGGAGGGUCAUUCUAAUUCUGUAGGGCAUACUGUCAGUUUUAAGCGGGGUUCAUGAAUUUCUUCAACCUUUUGUCUUGUUUGUGAGAUUUUAAUCAAUCAUAUGGCAGCAUUAGUUUUUGGUUUGCAAAUACGAAAUCCCCCCCUCUUUUGUUUGCAUUCUCAUUUCUAUGCCUACAUCAGUUUUAUUUGCUUCUUUGGUUAAUGUUUUCCUCCUCGUUGUGCUCUUCUAAUCAGUAAUGUUAUCCUGUUAUCAUCACAUUUUGAAUUUUGUUUGCUUUUUGUUAUUCUAUGGGUUCGAUACGCGACCUAUUUGAUAUUCGACUUGAGCUUGCCUCAUGAGAGCAUGGCUCUCCGCUUGGGCUCAAAUGAAAUUUGUUGCGGAGCCCAGCACUCUGCGCCAUGGUGAUUCCAUUGAGCCAUUGGGCCUCGUUUCAGGCCAAGUCAAAUUCUGGAAUUGGUAUAGAAUGGACCUCGCUAUUUUAGACUGUGUUUUAAUUAAAACUAUGGCUCAUUUGGAUUUUCUAAUUAGCAGGUCCUUGUAGUUAAUUGAGGUGUGCCAUUCAAAACAAAUAAUUUAUGGCCCUCCGAACUUUAGUUUGAAUUCCCUUUUAAGAAUUGGAAUUGAGGUGCGCCGCGCCAAAUAAAAUCUCAAAUGCGUGGCCCUCAUUUAAUUAUUUCUUUUAAAAUCCUUAGAAUUCGAGGCGUGUCAUUUAGCAAAUUUUCCAUGGCCCUCACAAAGUUAAAAAUGCGUAGUUACUUUAAGCGCGUUAUUUUAAUAAUAUUACCUUCCUAAACUCGGGUGCACAUUUCAUGUGACCCAAAUCUAAAUCUUAACAACGUCAAAUAGAAUAUGUCUUAGACUGCGGGUGCAUUUCAUGUGGCGCGGUCAAAAGAUGUGUUUUGGCUGACGUUGAAAUCUUCCUUAAAAAUGAAUAAAAGUGGUUAUAAAGUUAAAAUGCACAUAGGUUCAAACUGCUCUAAACUCAGAUAAUAGGCCAAUAAUAACUGUUGAGCGAAGAGCAAAUUGACCUUCUUCGUUUUCGGCAUUUCUAUAUUCUGAAAUAGUUCGCCAAUUCAGUGCUUUAUUUGUCGAGUCAAUCUUCCUGGAGAAGACUUGAAAAGGAUUUCCCGAGAAUGGUUGAGAUCAAUGUGAAAAUCAGAAUGCCGAAUCCACAUUAUUUGGAAACGAAAGACCCCAAGAACCACGAAACUCGGGAAUGCCUAACACCUUCUCCCAGGUUAACAGAAUUUCUUACCCAGAUUUCUGGUUCGCGGACUAUAAUACAGAGUCAAUCUUUUCCUCGAUUCGGGAUUUGAACCGGUGACUUGGGACACCAUAAAUUUUCCAAGUAGCGACUCUGAAUCUUUUAAUAAUAUAACCCCAUUUUGAUUGUCCUUUAAUUGAAAAAACUCCCUUAUACCCUUUCGGGGUGUAGGAAAAAGGAGGUGUGAUAGCUCUGGUAGAGACAAGAACCCAAAAUCUCUGGUUCAGGGGUCAGAAUUUGAGCUUAGAUAAUUUGUUAUGGUCGGCUUUAUUUAUUAUCUGAUUUUGUUACAUGUUUGGGCCUAAUGCGCUAAAUGUUGCUUUUACCGCUUUGAUAUUCUGUGAAGUGUAUAUAAACUGCUAUGAAACCCUUCCUCUCUCCGAGUCUUCUAAAUCAUGGAGAAAGGUGCACUUCGUGUGACUUCUCUUCUAUUAGAGUCAUAUCCCAAAUUUUAGAACGAGGUUCGGAUAAGUUGCAAAGCCGGUGAAGCUUCUGUAUUUCCGGUAAGCUGCCCGCCCUCGGCUCGAGUUAUCCGCUCGGGUAAGCCAGGUUUAGAACAAUAAACCCAGGUUUUAAACCUAGUAUUACACAGCCUCAUGCCGGAUCCCUAAUAGGAACGCUUGUUUGCAUCACGUGCAUCUGACUUUGGGGACUCAAUACAGGGGUUGGGUCCAUCUAGGACAUGUGUACCCAAAAUAAUAGACCAUCUUGAUGCAUCCUAUGUGCUACAUGUUGCAUUUCUUCAAGGGUAAAAGGGUCAUUUGGCGGACCAAUGAUAAUUGAGGGUGAAUGAAAAAAGAAAAAAAAAGAAAGAAAAGAAGAGGUUGAAGUAUAAAAUUGAAGCAAGUGGGGCCCAGUUAUAAUUUUCUUUCACACUUUUUCAAGAAAAACCAAAAAAAUGAAAAUGAAAAAUCCAAAAAAAAAAAGUUUGCACUUUUCCCCUUUUUUUUAAAAAAAAAAUCAAAAAAAUAAAAAAAAAGUGGAAAAAGAAAAUCCAAAAAGAGUUUACAUAUUUCAUCACUUUUCAAAAAGACAAAAAUACAUUUUCUCUAAGUUAUUUGUUAAUUUUAUUUCCUGCCCGUAUCCAAUCUGCCGAACUACGCAUACAUGAUUCUCGUCUUUCAGGGNNNNNNNNNNNNNNNNNNNNNNNNNAAUAGGGAGUGUUAUUAUCUCACAUAGUGAUGGUUAAAGUUUUCUCAUACAGGUGUGGGUCUAUUUACCGGAGUUUGAGCAUGGCAGACGCCCUAGGACCAUCCAGUCAGGAUCACUCAUUCAGGAGUUUGCUUGAGGAGAUUUUCUUUCUGUUUUAGUCUGUUGUUCUUUUUUAGUGUCAUCUUUUACCUUCUAGUUUUGUAUAGUAAUGUCGAGUCUUUUAGAUAAUGUUAGAGUUUGUCAUAGUCUAGUUAAGUUUGCCGAGUCUUUUAUUAUUAUAUUUCUUAUUUUGUAUUUGAAAAUGGGUUGCAAGUCAAAAAAAGCAACAAAAAAAAAGAAAUUUUGUGUUUUUAUAUUUCCGUUAGAAGUUUUCUUUAGAAUACUAAUUCUAGGAAUUAAAAAAAAAUAUCAUUUGAGGCGGUUUUUUCUUUAGGCAAUGAAUAUCUAGAACUUAAAAUAAAAAUUGCUUUUACAUUUUCUUUUAGUACAUUAAGAGCAAAAAAAUUCAAAAAAAAGAGAAGAGAAUUUUCUUUUAGUACCUCUUUAAGAGUUUUCUUUUAAGAUAUUAAUUCCAAAAAUUCAAAAAGAUUUUAUUUUGGGGUUCUUCUUUAGGAAAUUAACGAAAAAAUGAAAAAAAAAUUCUUUUAUUUUCACUAGAACUUUAGGAUAUUGUACAUAGAAAAGAAACAUACUUUAUCUUUUGUUUAUCUUUAAAGUUUUUUCUUUAGGUAAUCAAAAACUGAAAUCCAAAAAUAUCUUUUAUCUUGUUCAUUUCUCGAUUCGAAAUCUUUUUUCAGGGAUAUCAAAUGAAAAUUCAAAAUAUUUUUCUGUGGUUUACUCUUUAAAUUUCAUUCCUAAAAAAAAAAAAUUUUAAAAAAAUAUUUUUCUCUUUUAGGAUUUUUCCUUAAUAGAGUAUUUGUUUCAAAAGGAAAAAAAAAGAAAAAAAAUGCCCGUUAAACUUGAGUUUAGAAUAGGUCAUAGAACAUUAAGUCUAGAAAAUUCGAAAAAAAAAGAUUUGCUCCUUUUAUUUCUCUUUUCUCAUCAGAGUAGUCAUUAAGGUAAAAAUAAAAAAAAUAAAAUGUCAGUUUGUUUACUUUAGUCCCAUUCUUCCAGAACUACGCAAAUAUCUGAUUCAUGCGGGGUCAUGAUACGUAGGCAACAACCUACAUAGGAUUCGAUCGAAUCAUUUUUUUUAUUAGUAAAAGGAAAAAAGAUAAAAAAAAGGACAAAAAAAGGAAUAAAGGAAAAGAAGAAAAAAAGAUUGAAGUUAUGGGACGUGAGAAAUGAGAGGAAAGAAAAGAGUGAUAAUUAGAAGGGAAAAGAGGAAGGAAAAUGAGCAAGAAAGUGCUAGAAAACCAAAGAAAAGAGAGGUUGAAAUAAACAAAUUGGGAUGAUGCCAACUGACCUUUGUACCCUCGAAGUCAUUUUAGAACUGAUAACUGUGGCUAAGUGCAUUGCAUAUAAAGUGAGAUUAUCUUAUGUUAAAUGCCCUAACGCUAACGUGAUAGCUUCAUUUUGUUAUAUUCAUAGCAGAAGGGUGGUUGGUUUGUGGUUUUUAAAGUGGUAACUCUUCUCUACAAUACAAAGUCAAAAGGCAAUGGAGAACAACAACAAAACUGAGUUGGUUGAUAUCGGUGCCCGAAAGCAGUUGGUUGAACAUGACAAUGGGUUGGUUGAAGAGGUAAAAAUGUUAAGACAACACAUGGCGGACAUAUACCAGGCUUGGAUGACUGGGAAAGCACCACCCUCGCCACUACCUAGCUUCCUAGAUGCUGCCCUUACCCAAACUCCGGACACAAUGCCAGAUGAUCCUCCAUACUCUCCAGAUCCACCCGUUUGUCACAGCUUUCCCAACCACCCUAGUAGCUCCAUAACUCGUCCUCCAACUAUCUUUUCCCAAAAGUGCCCUCCUGUCACAUCCACUAUCCCCGACAAUGAACACCCACUCAAAGCUUAUGAUGCCCAAUAUUACCCCUCAGAGGUUGCCCACAAAGUUCCCAACUCAUACAAGCAAGGCCCGCGGGAUGAGCCUCAUGUUGAAAAUAAAAAGUUCACAGGAAGAGAAGGGUAAGAUGGGAUACCCAGGAGGCUGAAAGGCAUAGAACAAUCCUUAAAGAACAAGCAAGGAAUAAGAGACCAGGGUAGCAUGGCUUACAAAGACUGUCUGUGUCCCCUGACGUUUGCCUGCACGCAGGAUUCAAAGUGUCAAAAUUUAACUUGUAUGAUGGGUGUGGAGAUCCGGCAGCCCACCUGAGGAUUUAUUGCAGUGAAACGAGAUGUGUUGGAGAGAAAGAUGACUUGUUGAUGGCCUAUUUCAGUAAGAGCUUGACUGGGAAAGCUUUGGAAUGGCAUAAUCGUCAAGAUGUUGGUAAGUGGCCUACAUUGGGUGACAUGACUCAAGAUUUUGAUCGAUACUUUCAAUACAAAUCAGGUGUUACCCCAGACCGCUCCUCUCUAUCUAAAAUCAAAAAGAAGCCGGGAAAGCUUUAUGGAGUUUGGGCUCAGAUGGAGGGAGCAAGAUGCUCGAGUCAGUACCCCGAUUGGUGAAGAAGAAAUGGUUGAGCUUUUCCUAAAAGCCCAAGGGCCCACCUACUUCAGUCAUUUGAUCCCGGCCUUGGGAAAGGGGAGAUGUUAGAAGAGGGAAUCAAGUCAGGCAAAAUCAUGAGUUGUUCGGCAUUGAAAGAUACUACGAAAGACAUUCAGAACAUCCCAGUAAGUUUGGGUGGAAGAAAGAGAAAUAGAAAAAAUGAUCCGCUGGGCAUUCCUGCUCAAUACUUUCAGCCUCGACAUCGGCCCCAUGUAUAUCCUUGUGCACCAGAUGACCCUUCCCAAUGCUACUUCUCUCCACGGAACCCCCAAAGUCAUACAUCGCUUUUCCAGUACCCAGCUCCACAAAAUGCCUAUCCACCCCCACGAGCCUACCGAAACCCCCCUGGAUUAGGUUUUCGGCCCAAUCAAGCAUUUAAGAACGAGAGGUUGCAGAAGAAGAAAACCUUCACUCCAUUGGGAGAGUCAUAUGCCAGUCUGUUCCAGAGGCUAAGGAAAUUGGACAUGUUGAAGCCGAUUCAGAUAAAAAUGCCUAACCCUCUUCCAAAGAAGUUUGAUUUUUCUCAAAGGUGCGCAUAUUGCUCAGAUGCCCCGGGGCAUGACAUAGAGAAGUGUUGGAAUUUGAAGAAAGCAAUUCAGAAACUUAUUGAUGCAGGUGACAUUGUCGUACAAAAUCUAGAUGCAGCAGACACUAGCCAAAGUCCAUCGCCUGUGCAUAAUGAGACACAUAUGGUGGAUAUGAUUUAUUGUGAAAAGUAAUGUGAGAAUUCUUCUGGGAGCCUCGGAGGUCCACGUGUUACUAAGCUUUCAGAGCUAUCAGAGGUUGAUCUUAAGAACGAGCCGGCAAAAGGAACCCAAAAGCAAUUUGUUAAGAACAAUGUGAUGAAGACUUGUGAAGUUCCUAGUAUUGUUGAUGCAAAAUUCAGUGGCUAAGAUACCGUGUUUGGUAAUUGGAAAGACGCUCCAUUUCUUAGUCAGCCGGAGAGGAGUUUUGGUGGUUUAGUUUGUUGUCAUUUCUGUUGUACGAGUUAUUUCAGGGUUGUAAUCCGGAUAUUAUCUUGUGACUCAAACCCUUCUAUCCUUUUAUUUUGUAUAGUUCCUUUAGUCGUAGUAUCUCAUUCAGUGUUACCCAGGUUUGUUCUAGGGUUGUACCCCGGUUUAUUUUGCUUGUUUUGUUAUUCGAACCGUUUCACCGUCUGUCUAAUGCAAUUUCCUGUCUUUUGUUAUUUUCAGUCAUUUUCUUUGUUUAGUUCUCUUCUAUCCUUUCAUUUUGUCUUAUGUCUAAUGCUGGUUCUAGUGAUAUGACAUGCAUGCAAAAUUCUAGGCCUGGUCUUAAAAGUCAGUUUAGUCAUGAAACAAUGAAACAAUUUUGAAGAUGAUAGGGACAUUUGAGGGAAAUAAGUAAAGGCAUUUUGUGAUCACUUCAAGCCCGAAUUGUGAAACUGGGGCAGAUAGAACAUAAAGAAACCCUAUUGAAUGCAUCAUGCCGCAUCGGGUUGAAGCUAAAGGCAAGUUUGCACAAAUUGACAGGGGCCGUUCGUGGUAAUGAGAGUGAGAGUGUUGUCCAAUGGUGCUUUGUAUUUAGCAGAUGUCGAAGGCAAAUGUGUGGAUAUGGCUAUCAAUUCUAAUGCAGUCAAAAGAUAUUAUGUAUGAUUGCUUUGAUUAAAUUGUGUUUGUUUGUACUUGGCAUAUUUUGAAGAUUGGAAUGGCGAAGGCAUUUUGUUCUGCUAUCUAAACACUUUAUCCUUUGUUACCCCUUUUGAGUCUUAUUUAUUUUCUUUCAUACCCCUCUUUUGGAAUCAGUAGCAAAGUUCAGAAACAAGCGCAAAAGAUAAGUAAAGGAAAAGAGAAAAAAAGAAAGAAAAAGAGAGAAAAAAAAGAAGAAAAAAAAGAAAAAAAACACAAAACACCAAAAAGAGAAAAAAAAGAAGAAGACAAGAAGAGAAAGAGAAGAGAAAAGAAAAUAAAAAUCACAACAACAAAGCAAUUUCUAUGACAUGAACUACGUUCGACCUGAUUCCAAUAAGGAUACGUAGGCAGCCUCACGGUUCGGUCACAUCAAAGUAAAAAUCCAAAGUCCCCAAGCAAAAAACCUGGGGCAGAAGUUUGUGUUUGUUGUAAGAAAUCUGAUUCCGAAAGUUGUAAUUUUGAACCCAUUUGAAUUGUUUUGAGCCUUUGAUACCCUUUCUUUCUAACUCUAUCCAAAAGCCCACAUUACGGUCCAAAGAAAGACCUUCCGAUCAGUCUUUGAGAGAUGCCAAGUCAAGCAGGUAGUGGUGAUUCAUAUCAGGGGCAACACUCCAGUCCGAACAAGGAAAAUGAAAAAUGAGAGAGUCUUAUUGGUGAAAACCCUCACAGGCACCGUAAGGCAAUGGAAAUCUGAGAGAAAUAAAAAAAUAAGAGAGUCUUAUUGGUGAAAACCUUCACGAGCACCUUGAGGUGACUGUAAGUUGAGAGAAAGAACGAAAUGAGAGAGGCUUGAUGGUGAAAACCCUUUGGGCACUACAAGUCGAAUAAGGAUCAUGAAUCGGAUUGGAUAAUCAGAGCAUUGAAGCCCAGUUUCACGGCGAAAAGGUACAACAAGAGUUAAACAUCAGGAUUGCUUGACAGAAUAGGCCACAGGUGCAUGUUAUGGUCAUUAGAGGUGAUAUCCACAUCUGAUAGGUUUCUACUUUGUAGCUUUCUUUUUAGGAAUCAUCUCUUUCCUUUAUCCUUUGCUCUGUUCCUUUUGUUUUGUUUGCUUCCUCUUCCUGAGUCUGUUUGGUCAAAACAAAUGAGAAAUGACUUCAAAAUUUGCCACCAGCUUUCCAAUUGCACAAAACGGGAUCUGGCUAGCACAUCACAGUGUCAUAAGUCAGGAAAGAACAACAACUGCACUGAGCUGGUAACAAUCAACAUGCUUUAGGAUCCUUGUGAAAUACAAAGGCUUGGUACAUAUCAAUUCAUGAACAAUGCAAUAGAUAGAAGGUGUUAGGUGAAAGGAUCAAAGGUAUUUUCUGUGGUGGGAUUGACAAAAGGUGGUUAACCAGUUACAAGCAAGGUCUUACAAGCAAAAAUCAAAGUUAUUAUGGCAAGUGAAUCAGCAAUAGACCUCAAGGCCAAGGCUAGUGGUUUAAGUCAAGAAAGAGCAGCAUACACACUGAGGGGGUGGCAAUUGACGUGCUUUGGGAUUCAUGUGAGAUACAAAGGUUUGGUAAAUGUCAGUUCAUGAGCAAUGCAACAGAUAGAGGAUAUUGGGUCUAAACGGAGAAGAGGAUAUUGAGAUAGAGGAUAUUGGGCAUGACUGCUGAACUUGAUUGCUUUGGGAGAAGAAAAUUUUCUUUGUUUUGUCUAUUUUUGUUGAAAUCACGCACCCACUUGGAGAACAUGGAGAAGCAGUUCAAGUUCAGCAAUCAGGCGCCCACCUGGAGAGCACGAGAAUACAGUUCAAGUUCAGCAGUCAGGCGCCCACCUGGAGAGCACGGAAAUACAAUUCAAAUUCAGCAAUCAAGCGCCCACCUGGAGAGCACGGGAAUACAAUUCAAGUUUAGCAAUCAGGCGCCNNNNNNNNNNNNNNNNNNNNNNNNNACAUUUCAAAGUUCAGCAAUCAGACGUCCACCUAGAGAAAAGGGAAAGCAUCUCAGAUUACAAUUUAAAUCGACAACAAAGGGACUUCAUCGGGAGAAUACAAGUCAACAAGAAUCACAAGAUCAAGUUUGAAGAUAUAGAUAGAGCUUUUGUAAUUAAUAGAUCAUAGUUUAGUCUAGCUUCUUUUUAUUUUAUCAUGGUGUAAUAAGGGGUUCAGUAAGCAGCAGCAGCAACAACAGUGAAAUCACAGCUUCAUGGUAGUCCCAGCUACCAAAACUUCCCAAACUAUACUGACCUGAUUCCUUUAUAGCCAAGGUUAUGUAGGCAUCCUCAAAAGCAGGGUGCGGUCAAAUCUUUCAAAAAUGCUUCCCACGGAGUAUUCAAACGGGCAAAAUCGCUCGUAUACACUCACUUUAUCUUUACACGAAAACUCUUUAUGUUUCCGAGCAAAGAGGGGCAGCUGUGAGCACGUAAUUUUUGCCCUAUAUGAAUUACUCCCACAAAUUCAAAACAAAAAUAAUUUUUCCAUUGUUUGCAAUUUUGUAGAUUUUUGUGGCAUUUUCUGUUAUUGUUUGCAUCUUGUCUGUGCAUGUUUGUCUUAUUUAAUUAAUGAAAAAUACAAAAAACAAAUAUGUUGCAUUUUCAUUUAGGAUUUAACUUUACAUUUUAAGGAAUUAAUUAGUAAUUUUAUAAAAGGAAAAUCACAAAAAAAAAGUUUAAUUUGCGCUUUUUAAUUUUAAUUUUGAUUUCGAGUAGUUUUCUUUUAAUUUGCUUGUUUAAUUAAUUGUGAUAAUUAGUAUUUAGGUUUAAUUAGUGUUUUUGAUAGGUUAAUUAGGUUUUAGGAUUUGAUUUAGAUUUUAAUUUAAUUUUGGAAAAAAGAAGAAGAAAAGAAUUUUUGGAAAAUUGAUUUGAAAUAAUGAAAAGGAAAUGAAGAGAUAGAAAUUUGGGCUGCUUUAAGUUAAUUUACCCAGGCCCAAUGACUUCCCCUCCGAAACCCGGCCAACCCAACCCAUAUUCCACCCUGACCUGGUCCGUUCCCCCCACUAAACAAAACGACCCCGUUUAGAUAGCCUAAUCAAAUCUCAGCCGUCUAUGUUAUCUGAUCUAACGGACGGGAACUGGGGAUGUUUUAAUAUAUAAGUGUCUGAAAUGUGACUCCCCCCUAUCAAACUCGUCUCCUUCACCCCUCAUAGACUUUAAACCCUAAUAGCCAGCCGCCCUAAAAUCCCACCACCAUCUGGUGGCGGCGCCACCCCCGUUCACAACCAAACUAACACCCUAGGACCUCUUCCCUCCCCUCAUUCUGAAUACUAACUCUACUUCCCUCGAAUCACUCCAGAAUCCCUCGAAUUUUAGAUCGAAGGGAUGAACCCUAAUUCCCAAAUAGUUCCUGAUUCGAGUUUGUUUGAAGAUUUGGGCCUAUUUUGAUGUUAUUCGUGUGUUCUUAUUAAGAACACACGAUUAAUAUUAUAGUUGGCCGGAAAAUCCGAGAAGUUGAAGAUUCAGACUCCUUUCCUCAUUUGCUUGAGUCUCAGUAGGUAUUUUCUUUUCUUCUUUUCGGUUUAAUCUAGCUUUCAUUUUUCUUUUUCUAUUUCUCUGCAUCUGUUUCUUCUCCUGGAUUUCUUUUUCAUUUUUUAGUUUUCCAGAAUUUUUGUAUUUGUUUUUUGUUCAUGCAUGAUUAGUCCUACAUUUUUAGUAUCAUUAGCCUGUUAAUUAACUGAGUUUAUUAAUUUAGUUAGUUCUAGUUAAUAAACUGUUUAGCUUAGAUCUUAAUGGCCGCCAUGUUUGCAUGCUUCUGGUACUCCAGACUUUAAUUGGGUCAAUUGAUUGUUUGGGUUUUAGGAUCUCUGAUCCAUUCAGAAGAGAAGGGCAGCCCGUUCACCUAGUUAACCCACCGGGUUUUAAAGGGUAAUAAACCGGGGCAUGGGGGGUAAUUUAGGGUAAUUAGGCAGGGGAAUCUAUUUGUACUUGCUUGGGAAACUUCUAGGAAGCGGGGGAGGGGACUGUCUUGCAAAAUUGAAAAUUGGACUAAGGGUAGUUAAGGUAAAAUGAAAAUUGGAGGAAGGUAGAAGGGAAAAUCUAAUUUCCCUAGUGCUGCUCUAUUCCCUUGCCUAUAAAGGCACAUUUUCUUGCCAUUCAAGGCAGAGCUUAAGAGAUAAAAAUUCAGAAAAUCCAAAAACGGCAAAAAAUUCAUAAAAUCUAUUGUUCCAUUGGUCUUUGAUCUCAUUCUGAAAUUUUUUCUUUCUCUGAAGUUAUCUAUGAUUCACCGGGGUAAAAGAUAGCUUAGUUUGGUUUUUCAAAUACUGAUUUUGAGCUGAAUUUGGUGUUUGGAGUCUUGUUUCAAUUCGAGUUUGGGGAGGAUAAAAAUUCUGGAAAUCAAACGACUAAAAAAAUAUUGUUCUAUUGCUUUCUUCUACAAUUUUUAAGAUUUUCAAUCUCUGAAGAACUCCUAUUUUCCCUGGGUGAAAAAAUGGUUUAAAGAGUGAAGUUGGUUGAAUUUUUAGAGGCUGCUUGAUUGAGUCUUACUGCUGAUUGUUGCUGCUGUAUCUACUAGAUUGGUCUGGUUUUAAAAUCAUUCUCAAGGUCAUUUAUUCCUCUUUGCUGUAACAUGUACAUUCUCGAAUCCUUACAAUGGAAAUGUAAAUGUUGAAUGAAAGGUGGUGUUUCAAUGUCCAAUUUCAGUUGCCUUUCCAAAGUCUGAUCUUAGAAUUCUUGUUAGAUGUCUGCAAUUUUAAUUGAAUUUGGUGUUGUCAUGUAGUAGCUUGUAACUAUAAAGUUUGGACUUUCAUUUUUUUAGUAGCUUCAUGUAUAUUGGAAUGAAUUUCCAGCUUUGUAGUGAGGGUCUGAUGGCAUGAUAUAGCUGUGUUUGACAAUAGCUUCAUGUCUAAAUUGCUCUUAAAUAUGCUAAAAUGAUAUUGUUUGGUGCGAUUUGGGAAGUGGUGCAGAAAGUAGGAUGUUUAGAUAAUUGAUUUAAAUAUGAAUGUUUGAAAGCAAGCAUGAUUAUUUGAUUAAAGUUUCGGUGCCUACAAAUUUAUAGUGUUGCAAUGGUUAUCAUUUGGAUGGGCUUGACUUAAAACGGUUUGGCUGGAGGGUCAUUCUAAUUCUGUAGGGCAUACUGUCAGUUUUAAGAGGGAUUCAUGAAUUUCUUCAACCUUUUGUCUUGUUUGUGAGAUUUUAAUCUAUCAUAUGGCAGCAUUAGUUUUUGGUUUGCAAAUAUGAAAUCCCCCCCUCUUUUUUUUGCAUUAUCAUUUCUAUGCCUACAUCAGUUUUGUUUGCUUUUUUGGUUAAUAUUUUCCUCCUCGUUGUACUCUUCUAAUCAGUAAUGUUAUUCUGUUGUGAUCACAUUUUGAAUUCUGUUUGCUUUUUGUUAUUCUAUGGGUUCGAUACUCGACCCAUUUGAUAUUCGAUUUGAGCUUGCCUCAUGAGAGCUGGGCUCUCCGCUUGGGCUCAAAUGAAAUUUGUUGCGGAGCCCAGCACUCUGCGCCAUGGUGAUUCCAUUGAGCCAUUGGGCCUCGUUUCAGGCCAAGUCAAAUUCUGGAAUUGGUAUAGAAUGGACCUCACUUAGUCUUAAUUUUAGACUCCCUUUUAAUUAAAACUAUGUCUCCUUUGAUUUUUCUAAUUAGCAGGUCCUUGUAGUUAAUUGAGGUGUGCCAUUCAAAACAAAUAAUUUAUGGCCCUCCGAACUUUAGUUUGAUCUCCCUUUUAAGAAUUGGAAUUGAGGUGCGCCGCGCCAAAUAAAAUCUCAAUUGUGUGGCCCUCAUUUAAUUAUUUCUUUUAAAAUCCUUAGAAUUCGAUGUGUGCCAUUUAGCAAAUUUUUCAUGGCCCUCGCAAAGUUAAAAAUGCGUAGUUGCUUUAGGCACGUUAUUUUAAUAAUAUUACCUUCCUAAACUCGGGUGCACAUUUCAUGUGACCCAAAUCCAAAUCUUAACAACGUCAAAUAGAAUAUGUCUCAGACUACGGGUGCAUUUUAUGUGGCGCGGUCAAAAGAUGUGUUUUGCUGACGUUGAAAUCUUCCUUAAAAAUGAAUAAAAGUGGUUAUAAAGUUAAAAUGCACAUAGGUUCAAAAUGUUCUAAAAUCAGAUAAUAGGCCAAUAAUAACAGUUGAGCGACCGUGCUAUAACCACGGAACUCAGGAAUGCCUAACACCUUCUCCCGGGUUAACAAAAUUCCUUACCCGGAUUUCUGGUUCGCGGAUUGUAAUACAGAGUCAAUGUUUUCCUCGAUUCGGGAUUUGAACCGGUGACUUGGGACACCAUAAAUUUCCCAAGUGGCGAAUCUAAAUCUUUUAAUAAUAUAACCCCGUUUUGAUUGUCCUUUAAUUGGAAAAACUCCCUUAUACCCUUUCGGGAUGUAGGAAAAAGGAGGUGUGACAGUAAGAUCUGUUUUUGCACGCAUAUUCUCUGAUAGUUGUAGUUUUUCGAGUUGAUUCCAAAUUUCAGAAUAUAAUAAGCUUUCUUGAAUAAAAUCUUCUUUUUUUUUCCGCUCCUAACAACUGGGAGAGUUUGUCUAAAAUCACCACAAAAAACGAUCACUUUUCCUCCAAAUAGAGCAUUUGUAUCCAUUAAAUCCUUCAUCAGAAUAUCAAAAGUUUCUAUCACUUUGUUUUUUGCCAUAGAUACUUUAUCCCCGACAAUUAGUUUUGCAUCACAUAUUAAAGUUGCAAGUGUUUGCUUACUAAUGUUGCAAGAAUAUUGUUCAUCGAUAUCAAUAGGAAAUUUAAAAUGGGAGUGAGCAGUUCGUCCUCCUAGGAGGAUCGAAGCUGCAACACCUGAACUUGCAGUUGCUAAAGUGACAAAACCUUUUGAUCGUACAACAGCUAAUAAAGCACGGUAUAGAAAAGUUUUUCCGGUUCCUCCAGGUCCAUUAAUGAAAAAUGCUCCUGAUUUGUUAGAAAAUAUUCUAUUAAGAAUCGUGUCAUACGCUUUUCGUUGUUCGGUUUUUAAUUUUCUCUCUAGAAGCAAAUCUUCUUCUCUAACAAUGAUGUUUCUUUCAAAAUGACAGUCAUUGGUUUCUCUCACAGCAACUGAAGGUUUAAUUUUCUCAGGAAUCAGAUUAUAUUCAUUGAUAUCAUGUUCCAUCAAAUGCAAAAUAUCAUUGAUAUGAUUUAAAGCCAUAAAACAAAUAUCUUUAGCAUUCAUGUUAGGUAGAAUCUUAAAAUCUCCGGACAUUGAAUCUUCAAAUUAUUUCCAAAGUUCUGUUGGAUUAGCAGGAUUACAGUACACUAAUAAUGUUGCAAACAAAUGCCUUAAACUAUAUGGCAUUUGAUAAUUUGUAGCUUCAAACAUAUAUUCAACCAAGUUGUUAUCACAGUGUAACAAUCUUCUUUUUUUCUGCGGCCUCUCUAAAUGUACUACAACAUUUGCCGUCAACUUUACAUAAGUCCUGAUAUGAUUUUGGUCCUCUAACGUUCAUCAAUAAUAAUCUAAUAUAAUAUCUUUGUCCUUCUGUUGGAUGACAUGUUACAACACGUCCAAUUACAGUACGUUGUUUUCGACGUGUCCCCAUUUUUUCCUUAGGUGACCAUACAAAGUACUCAAGAAAUUCUUUAUAUAAUAAUAACAGUUGCAUAACAUCUUUAUCUGUUCUAUUCAUAACAAAAAAUUCAGUUAACAUUGUUUUUCGAAUCAUUGGAUUACUCAAUAUUCUAUCAACAUUUUUAUUACUUUUAAAAGAGAUAAAUUAUUGUCCUUCCAAAUGUAAUUGAAGGUGAAAAACACUUGGAGUCAUUUCACUAAUGGGAAAACCAAAUAAUCGCAUGCAGCUUUUGGAGGAGAAACCCAUCUAGUAGAUUGAUAUUCUUUUAUUUCAUCUAUGCCUGUAUCUGUAUCAUUAUCAUGUAUAUGAAAUGCAAUUUUAUCGUGUCCUUUGCAAAUAUAUUUGUAAAUAUAUUUCAUUACUUUGAUAUCAGAACAAACUUCAACAUUUAUAUGAUAAUUAUACUUGCAUAGCAAAAAUGGAUUAUGUGGAACAACCCAAGAAUUAUCCAGAAACUCACCUCUUACUUCUACAGCUUCUCCGGUUCUUCUCCUUUUGUAUAUUGUAUAUGAAUUCUUCCCUUUUGAUGUUUGUUCAGCAAAAUCUUUUGGAUACUUGAAUUUGCAGUUAUUAUUUUUCAUGCAAAUAUUUAUAGGAUUUAACUUUCCACAAGGACUAUGCAUCAUAUGUUUAAUAACAAGUGAGUAUAGAUCGCGAUCUUUUUUAGAAUCAGGCAAUUCUGCACAAACAAAUUUAUCAUAGGAUUCAGGAGUCAAUAAUUUGUGUUCAUCAGCAAGUAUAAUAAGAAAUGAGCAUGUGGAAGACCACGUUUUUGAAAUUCUAUAGUAUACAUGAAUGCUGCAACUCUUCCAAAGAUUUAGUUUUCUGCAUGCUAUUUUGUAUGCUUUGCUUCCUAUUUUCCAAGGAAAGUCCAUAUUAGUGCGUGAGUUGAGUAGUUCCUUCUAGAUUUCAUCUUCCUUUUGUAUCGCAUUCGAAUUUGGUAGCUUGUUGGCAUAUUAAGGCAUCAUAUGAAACUUUUGAUCAUGUCCGGGGUGACUUAUUGCUGGAGCAGUUAGCACUGGGUGAGACGAGAACAUUGGAUUUAGGAUCAGUGCAAUCUGAUUACAUGAAGUGUAUUAAGGAGCAAAGAUCAUUAUUUGGUUCAGAAUGAGGUAAUGGUUCUUGUCAGAAGUAUAGACUCAAUGAUUGGUUGACUCGGCAGUUGGUUAUGAAUUUCUACACAUCUCGUCCGUCGUGGCGGUAUUGUAAGAGUUAGAGGGAGACCUGUGUAUGUCAUAAGGUGCACUGGGAGCAUCAAGUUCGUGAUAUUUCGACUAAUUUGAUCAGAGAAUGUUAUUGUUUCAGCUAAGGUAUGCAGUCAUGUUUUGGUGCUGCGUGUAGUAUUGAUACGGUGAGCGUAUGUUGGAAACAGGCCUGACAGAGAAUUCCGUAUGAUGGAAUUGGGCUCUAAGGCUUAUUUGCUUAAGUGAAAAAGGAUAUCUUCAAAUUGAUCGGGCUAGGGUGCCCAGCUGAGUUGUGGUAUCACGAGUAGGUGCUCGAGGCGUUAAACAGUGAUUUCGGACAACCCCAACGCAAUUCUUAGCACGUUCGAGGACAAAUGUUUGUUUAAGUGGGAGAGAAUGUAACAAGGCCAUGAGCAGCUUCACUUCAGGUAUUAUGACUUGUACGCAUGGUCGGAAUUGAAUUUCGGGAAGUUCGGAGUUGAUUUGGAAAGAGAAUUCUCAUUUCGGGAGCUUUAAGUUGAAAGAAUUUACUAAGAUGGGAUUUUAGACUAAAUGACCUCGGAAUCAUGAUCUGAAGGUUCCAACAGGUUCGUAUGAUGAUUUCGGACUUGGGCGUAUGUCCGAAUCAGGUUUUGGAUGACCCGGGAGCGUUUUGGCGCCUAUUGUUGAAGUUAGCACUUUUGGAGGAAAUUUCAUAAGUUUGGCUUGAAGUGCAUCUCAGCAUUAUCGAUGCCCGUUUGGGAUUCUGAGUCUGGGAAUAGCGCCGUAUGGUGAUUCUGGAGUUGGGAGCGCGAUCGAAAGUGAAUUCGGAGGUCCGUAAGUCAUUUUGUAGUCAUUUGGCUAAAGGUAGAAAUUUGAAGGUUUUUGAGAAGUUUGACUGGAAGUGGACUUUUUAAUAUCGAGGUCAGAAUCCAAUUCCGGAAGUUGGAGUAGGUCCGUAAUGUCAAAUAUGACUUGAGUGCAAAAUUUAAAGUCAAUCGGACGUGAUUUGAUAGGUUUAGACAUCGAGAAUAUAAGCUUGAAGUUUUAAAGUUCAUAAAGUUUGGAUUGGUGGUCGAUUCGUGGUUUUACCGUUGUUUGAUAUGAUUUGACGCCUCGAGUAAGUCCGUAAUAUAUUUUGGGACUGGUUGGUAUGAUUGGUUAGGGUCCCGGGGGGCCUCGGGUGGAUUCCGAGUGGUUAACGGAUCAACAAUGGAAUUUUUGGAAGUCUGAAGUUGCUGGUUGCUGUCAUAACCGCACCUGCGAGAAUUGGGCCGCAGGUGCGGAGCCGCAGAAGCGGCCAGAAGAACCGCAUAUGCGGUAUUGGCGGAGGAGAGCUGGGACUGCAGAUGCGAUCGUAUUGCCGCAGAUGCGGGACCGCACCUGCGGUGGGGAGGAUGCAGAAGCGGAAAAAGGGCAGCCUGGUAAGGAACCGCAGAAGCGGUCAAGAGACCGCAGGUGCGGAAAGUGCUAGAGGCAGUGCUUUGUUUUAAAGUUGGGAUUUGGCCAUUAUUCUCCCAUUUUUCAUUUGGCAUGGGCGAUUUUGGAGAGCUUCAAGUGGGGUUUUUCAUCAUCAACGAUAAGGUAAGCUAUACCCACCUAUCUUGAGUUAAAUACAUUGAUUUUGUAUGGAUUUGAGCAUGAAAUUUUGUAGAAACUUGGGAUUUGAAGGAAAACCUAGGAAAUUGGUAAUCUUGGAUUUUGGCCAUGAUUUUGGGUAUGAAAUUAAGAGAAAAACAUAUAUUUGAGUUCGUGAGUUCAUGGGUAAACUUUAUCUUCGAAAAAUUUCGGAAUCCGGGCAUGUAGGCCCGAGGGCAAUUUUGUCAAAUUUGCGAUCGGGGUUAGAAGUUUUUAUAAAUUGGAUUGUAAUGAGUAAUUGAACAUAUUUUAAUGGAUUUGCAUAAUUAUGGCUAGUUUUGGAGCAUUGAGCAUUGAUUCGAGUCUUUAGAAGAGCGUGGAAUGCAGGUUAUGGAUCUUCGGAGCGAGGUGAGUCUCCUUUCUAACCUUGUAAGAGGAAAUUGUCCCCAUAGGUAAAAUAAUUGGUUAUGUGCUCCUAUUUGUGGGGCUACGUAUGCACGAGGUGAUGAGAGUCCGUGCGUAGCUACUAUUAUGCUAUUGUCCGGGUAGUUUAGGACCCAAAGGCAUGCUAUACUUGGAUUAUUUGUGAACUUAUUGACAACUUGAAUUGCUUAAAGCACAUCGAAUUAGUAAAUGAGUUCUAAACAGAUUAAACUUCAUGUUUUCUUAAAUAGUUAAAAGAGGAUUGGCUUUCUUUGGAUAAUUGCUCUGUGUUGACUUCUUGAUUGACUGUCUGUGUGUGUUUAUUUUUGGAACGGGCCAAACGCCUUAGUAGAUUAAAUAGAUGCAUCUAUGGUUCGCGCCGUUUGACCCUCGGCAAUGCACAAUUUACAUUUCUAUUGGAUCGGGCCGUACGACCUCGGCAUGAUAUGCGUAUGCUUGUAUGGCUUGCCUGGAAAUUUUUAAUGUUGAUAUUUGCCCUUCCUGGCCCGAUGUAAAUUGAUAAAGAUAAAGAAAAAUUAAUUUUGGAAUUCCUUUAUUAUUUGAGAAGGUGUUUACCUGCUUUCCGGCUUUAUGAGUUAUAAUUGCUAUAUAAAUCCAUGAUUUCCUCACAUUUUUACUAUGUUAUUAUUGGACCACUAGCAAGUGUCGAAGUCCACCUCUCAUCUCUACUUCUUCGAGAUUAGACGAGAUACUUGCUGAGUACACGUUGUUUUCGUACUCAUGCUACACUUGUUGUGCAUUUUUGUUGCACAGGCACAUGCAUUUCUAGUGGCCUAGCGGGCGUAGCUACAUGGUUGAUAUAGAGACUCAGGUGAGCUGUACUUCUUGAGGUGACCCAUAGCCGGCAGAGUCUCUCUCAGAUUUUUUUGUAUUUACUUUCUGUCCAAUUUGUAUCCCAGACAGAUGUUGUAUUAUAUUGCUUCCUAGAUAUAGCUCAUGCACUUGUGACACCGGGUUCUGGGAUGGUUAUAGGAUUGUUCAAUAUUAAGUUUAUUAAAGACUCCAUGGAUAUUUCUGUAAAUUUUAUUAUUUAUUAUUUAAAUGUAUGAGGAAAAAUGAUUUCAACAAGCACUAAAAUUUGAAUUUAAUUAAGUAUUUUGGUUGGCUUGCCUGAUAGCGGUAUCCGGCGCCAUCACGACCCCUAGUGGAUUUUGAGUCGUGACAUAGAUGAUUUAGUUCCUUCCAAUGAAUAACCUAGGAAUUUACAGCUGUACUUCUACGAUCAUGAUAAUGAACUAGCCAAUAGGAUGGCUUGUUCGACAAGAAUUAAUGAAUCAAUAGUGAAAAAGUUGAUGGAUAUAUUGAAGGUAAAUCCAUAUAUUAUUUUCCUUAGAUCUCUCUUAAAUGUUCCUCAAUUAUCUGAUUUCUAUAUUGCUCUUAAAUGUCACUCAACCUUAGAUCAACGAAUAUAUAACUUACCCAGCGCAUCAGAGAUUGCGACAUUAUGGCUUGAAAAAAAUCCUAGAGACACAUCUGCACCACAUAUUCGAAUUUAUACCCACAAUAAUAGAUCUCGGUUAGUAAAUUAUUAUUAUGGAUGCUACGAUCCGUUGCAAUAUCCAUUAUUAUUUUCCUUCGGUGAAAAUGGAUGGCAUUGUGGAAUCAAAAAAAUUAUUCAGACAAAAAAUGUGAUGAAACGUAGAGCUUACUGUGAACAUGAACAAUUGCCCAGUAUAUCAAAUAUGUGUUCAGUUGAUGGAUUUCUUGAUAUGGAAGAUGAGUCACUACAAAAAGGGAAACGAAAAAGAGAUACAGUGUCUUAUCGAGAGUAUUAUUGUUACAAAUUUCAACUAAGAGAUAAUGAAACAAAUGAAGUGCUACAUUGUGGGAGAAUAUUCCAACAAUUUGCAACCCGAUCCAAAUAACAUACCCAUGGCGGCGUGCCACCCGAUCCACACAUAGAACCCACGUAAGGAGAUAUACAUCGAGCUAAAUUUCUCAUUAAAACAAAAUACCAAAUAUCGGUCAUAAACACGCUAAGUGCAUAAUACCAUCCCUGAGGGGACAUAUAGCGCUAUCAGCUACAAAACGCAAGCACAACUGAGGUACGGUGUACGAUCUAAAUCUGAAGAGCCAUCCUGCUCAUAUAACCUCAUCGCUACGCGAAACCUCAACACAUAAGAAAUUUACCAAGUCGUCUCACAACUCAUACGAUGAAAUAUAUCAUUACAUGAAAUAGCUGACAACGAAAUAACACCCCGACUACUCUUCCAUAAGCAGCACAUUGCUGAAAUGAACACAUCUGACCUGAUAUAGAGCCCAUAUUCACAUUAAAUCCAUCCACAAACCUCAAGUCGAUUUCUGAUUGCACUAACUAGGCUAAUAACCUUUCAUGGGUCCAUAAUAACCCCCUUUUUGCGUAACACACAAGAUCAACCGUCAUAACCGAAAAAAUCCUCCAUAGUCCACAACUCAAUAAACCGAGUGCCCUACAGGCAUAAGUUCUCAAAUUAAUGAUACCACCACAAUCUUCAUACUUGGUUUAAAUUCUUCAACCAAUCAAGUGGCUACAAGCCACACUUAUACAACCUUCCCGUGGGCAUGCUCCCACAACCUUCCAUAACAGAUAACAGGUAUGUACACCAAACCACCGGCCGCACUAACGCUGAAAAGCGAUCAAAAAUUCCUUAACCAGGAUGCAAAGCCUUUUCCACAAAAUACUGAUCUUAGGUGACGCUGAAGACGAUACCCACUUACUUUAGAUAUCGAAACUCCUUCACUGCUCGUCCGAGCUCGUGACAUCCUUGCUAGCACCGAACUGUAACCUUGAUCCUCACUUCAAAUUCUAUACUACUCACUGCUCCCCAAUAUGCCAUCAUACGAUAGAACAUGAUCUUCAUCAUAACUCCGGAACUACUAAUAGAUUGACACUUCAUCAUAUAAAAACUUUUCACUUAACUCACUUCAGGAGAACCAUAGCAAUACAUAGGUAAAUUCUCAUAACCAUAGAAUAUGAAAAACCUCUAAGUAGUGGUCUAAACCACCAUAGCCCUUACGGGAUCCGUCUACACAUAACAGGCCACAUACAAUAUAAUACUUUCUGAAUAACAUCAAUUACGGCGGCCGACAAGCCUCACAUGUACCAUCACAAAUCACUUGCAUAACCUGAUCCCGCUGCAGGAACUGAUCACUGCCACCAAUAUACCAAUUCAAUUAUGGCUAAUCAAUCUACCUUCUUCUAAUUUAUCCUUGAUUGCCUUAGAAAUAAUACUAACUCCAUUCAACACAUAACAUACUCCAUCCACACUCAUCCCGAGUGACCUUGAAUCACGAGACCAUGUUGUCCCAAAUCCCACGAAUCAUUUCAUAUUUCCUAAAUGCUACACUACAAGUCAAGACAUCAUAGAACAUCCUGGGCCUCUUCUCAUAAGCUGCUACCAAGCUUGAAUCUUAACCGUACCUAUAGGAUCGAAAUCAUUAGGCUCCACACUUUACCCCUUUGUAUCCACUAGGACCAUUGUUGAGAGCCACCCGCUCUGACUUGACCCCGAAUAUAAUCUACUCCAUGAAUCUUCUAGAACAUGGAUACCCUCUCGAUGAAGCACCCAUCAGAAUCAUUUUCUUUGAAACCCGCAUCUAUAAAAGGCAUAAAUCUUGAAUCCUUCCCCAAGUCUGAACAUGAGCCAAACAGGCCAACCAUAGCACCCUUUAAUAAUCCCUUGCUCAAGUUACCACUUAUGUUCUUUUCCUGUAGCUGAAAUAACUCAUCAAUAUGCCAAUAACCAGAAACCUCGUAAGUAGUUAACCAUGCAACCCAAUCAUAGGUGGUGAGACUCUCCCACUUAGCUUGAAGCCACUAUUACAUAACUCUAGAAUUCACUAGGAUUCUUCAUCUCUUAUUGACAUAACCUUACGCAAUCAACCGCGAAAAUUCUCGGAAUUCUUCUGUAAGACCCCUUUUUAUACUCUGAAUCAUCAACCACAUUCGCACGACCAAUCUCAUUUGCUGUAUAACCAACAGAAUUCUUCACAGAAGCCCCGCCAACCACGCGACCACUAACCUUCUCACAGGGAAUAACCCACCUGUAGAAAUCACUUCCAGACAUCUUCCAAUGUUGUUGCACGGGGUACAACCUCUAGGACAUCAAUAACCCACCCUGUGUCCGAGCUCACUCUCUAGUUGCACAAGUCCAUUCACCCAUCGUGGACAUCAAUUAAAUUUGUGGCAACAUCCUUCCAAUUCAAAGUUAUGUUGUAUCCUUCUUCUUUUCCAGCAGCUCCUUCCCGUUAUAUCAAAUCUCCUACCGCAUAAUAGCCCAUGCUCAAAAUUAAAUCUGUAGACCCCAAAUCACCAAAUCACUAAAAAUUCCCAAAUUGUUCCAACUCCCCUUAAGGUGCGUAGUCAUCCUACCACCAAGCCCGUAUGCAACUCUCCCACUCUCCCACUUUGGGCAAACUCGCUUCUUUAAUCAACUACUCGACCUUCGCUUCUUAUACCUGGCCUUCUAGAAGUUUUAAACACCGAUUGACACUUCCCACAUGUCUUUCCUCAUACUUUGCUACUCAAUUAUUUCCUUAAAUAAAAUCUACCUUCGUAGCACUUGAACCCACAAAUCACUACUAACUUUAAACCUUUCCGAAGAUUAUCUUUCUAAAGCCGUCAACAUUAGGAACACCGAUUCCAUCCUGAACCACCGCACCCCGUGCUCUCUAACCGUUUUAAUACUGACCCGUAAUAUCCUGCUCCAAAGGCAAUUGUAGAAGAUCAUAACACUGACGAACUUAGUACAUUUAAUAAGGACAACAACACCUCAUCAUAUAAGAAAACUCCACCACGCUCGCAAAUACUGAGUCUCGUUACCCCAUCAACCCAAACCUGAACACUUCAGCCCGAUUGCCUUUCCCCUACCGGGAAUAAAAUACCGGAUCUCUAGAUCAUGCACUAAGUAAACCUCCCUUCAAGUCAUUCACUGCCUCGACACGUAGGCAAACAUCCUACCAUCAGAACAAUACUACGGAACAAACGUUCAUAAGAAUCAUGGCAACUUGUGCCUAGCCUUAGAGCUCUCAGAAGUACCGCUACUGAGCUGAAACAAUAGAAUAUCCUUCUACAAGGCGACGAUAAUAGCUCAAACAACCCCGUAGGGAGAAACAACCCGCACCACAUUAGUAAUACCGUUACAAUCCUUAAAUUCUCGAUUUGUAACCAGCGGUUCACGUCGCGUAAGUUUGAGUAGGAAGGAAACAAGGGCCUAAGCCUCAAGGAAUCAAAUCACAUGAUGAGGAAUCAAGAAGGGAAGUACUCCUAACAGUCGUGUAGCCUUCCGAAGAUAAAUACAGACAUCUCCGUACCGAUCCGCGAGACUCUACUAGACUUGCUCAUGACUCAUGAGACCUAAGGGAACCUAGUGCUCUGAUACCAUGUUGUCACGACCCAAAAUCCACUAGGGGUCGUGAUGGCACCGGACACCGCUGUUAGGCAAGCCAACCAAAAUACUUAAUUAAAUUCAAAUUUUAGUGCUUGUUGAAAUCAUUUUUCCUCAUACAUUUAAAUAAUAAAUAAUAAAAUUUAUAGAAAUAUCCAUGGAGUGUUUAACAAACUUAAUAUUGAACAAUCCUAUAACCAUCCCAGAACCCGGUGUCACAAGUGAAUGAGCUAUAUCUAGGAAGCAAUAUAAUACAACAUCCAUCCCCGAUACAAAUUGGAUAGAAAGUAAAUACAAAAAAAAUUCUGAGAGAGACUCUGCCGGCUACAGGUCACCUCGAGAAGUGCAGCUCACCUGAGUCUCUAUAUCAACCAUGCAGCUAUGCCUGCUAGGCCACUAGAAAUGCAUGUGCCUGUGCAACAAAAAUGCACAGCAAGUGUAGCAUGAGUACAAAAACAACGUGUACUCAGCAAGUAUCCCAUCUAAUCUCGAAGAAGUAGAGACGAAAUGUCGGUUUCGACAUUUGCUAGUGGUCCAAUAAUAACAUAGUAAAAAUGUGAGGAAAUCAUGGAUUUAUAUAGCAAUUAUAACUCAUAAAAAUCGGAAAGCAGGUAAACACCUUCUCAAAUAAUAAAGGAUUUCCAAGAUUUACUUUUCAUUAUCUUUAUCAAUUUACAUCGGGCUAGGAAGGGCAAAUAUCAACAUUUAAAAUUCCCAAGCAAGCCAUACAAGCAUACGUAUAUCAUGCCGAGGUCGUACGGCCCGAUCCAAUAGAAAUGUAAAUUGUGCACUGCCGAGGGUCGAACGACGCGAACCAUGGAUGCAUCUAUUUAAUCUACCGAGGCGUUCGGCCCGUUCCAAAAAUAAACACACACAGACAGUCAAUCAAGAAGUCAACACAGAGCAAUUAUCUAAAGAAAGUCAAUCCUCAUUUAACCAUUUAAGAAAAAAUGAAGUUUAAUCUGUUUAGAACUCAUUUACUAAUUCGAUGUAAUUUAAGCAAUUCAAGUUGUCAAUAAAUUCACAAAUAAUCCAAGUAUAGCAUGCCUUUGGGUCCUAAACUACCCGUACAAUAGCAUAAUAGUAGCUACGCAUGGACUCUCAUCACCUCGUGCGUAUGUAGCCCCCACAAAUAGGAGCAUAUAACUAAUUAUUUUACCUAUGGGGACAAUUCCCUCUUACAAGGUUAGAAAGGAGACUCACCUCGCUCCAAAGAUCCAUAACCGGCAUUCCACUCUCUUCCGAAGACUCGAAUCAAUGCUCAAUGCUCCAAAACUAGCCAUAAUUAUGCAAAUCCAUUAAUAUAUGUUCAACUACUCAUUACAAUCCAAUUUAUAAAAAUUCCUAACCCCGAUCGCAAAUUUGACAAAAUUGCCCUCGGGCCUACGUGCCCGGAUUCUGAAAUUUUUCGAAGAUAAAGUGUACCCAUGAACUCACGAGCUAAAAUAUAUGAUUUUCUCUUAAUUCCAUACCCAAAAUCGUGGUCAAAAUCCAAGAUUACUAAUUUCCUAGGUUUUCCUUCAAACCCCAAGUUUCUACAAAAUUUCAUGUUCAAAUCCAUACAUAAUCAAUGUAUUUAACUCAAGAUAGGUGGGGAUAACUUACCUUGUUGUUGAUGAUGAUAAACCCCACUUGAAGCUCUCCAAAAUCGCCGAUGCCAAAUGAAAAAUGGGAGAAGAAUGGCCAAAUCCCGACUUUAAAACAAAGCACUGCCUCCAGUACUUUCCGCACCUGCGGUCUCUUGACUGCUUCUGCGGUUCCUUUUCAGGCUGCCCUUUUUUCGCUUCUGCAUCCUCCCCACCGCAUAUGCGGUCCCGCAUCUGCGGCAAUACGACUGCACUUGCGAUCCCAGCUCUCCUCCGCCAAUACCGCAUCUGCGGUUCUUCUGGCCGCUUCUGCGUCUCCGCACCUGCGGCCCAAUUCUCGCAGGUGCGGUUAUGACAGCAACCAGCAACUUCAAACUUCCAAAAAUUCCAUUAUUGAUCCGUUAACCACCCGGAAUCCACCUGAGCCCCCCAGGACCCCAACCAAUCAUACCAACCUUUCCCAAAAUACAUUACGGACUUACUCGAGGCAUCAAAUCAUAUUAAACAAUGCUAAAAUCACGAAUCGACCUCCAAUCCAAGCUUUAUGAACUUUAGAACUUCAAGCUUCUACUCUCAAUGUUUAAACCUAUCAAAUCACGUCCGAUUGACUUCAAAUUUUGCACACAAGUCAUAUUUGACAUUGCGGACCUACUCCAACUUCCGGAAUUGGAUUCUGAUCUCGAUAUCAAAAAGUCCACUUCCGGUCAAACUUCUCAAAAACCUUCAAAUUUCUACCUUUAGCCAAAUGACUACAAAAUGACCUACGGACCUCCGAAUUCACUUUCGAUUACGCUCCCAACUCCAGAAUCACCAUACGGAGCUAUUCCCAGACUCGAAAUCCCAAACGGACAUCGAUAACAUUGAGAUGCACUUCAAGCCAAACUUAUGAAAUUUUCUCCAAAAAUGCUAACUUCAACAAUAGGCGCCAAAACGCUCCCGGGUCAUCCAAAACCCGAUCCGGACAUACGUCCAAGUCUGAACUCAUCAUACGAACCUGCUGGAACCUUCAGAUCCCGAUUCUGAGGUCGUUUACUCUGAAAUCCCAUCUUAGUCAAUUCUUUCAACUUAAAGCUCCCAAAAUGAGAAUUCUCUUUCCAAAUCAAUUCCAACCUUUCCGAAAUUCAAUUCCGACCACGUGUACAAGUCAUAAUACCUGAAGUAAAGCUGCUCAUGGCCUCAAACUACUGAACGACAUGCUAGAGCUCAAAACGAUCGUUCGGGUCGUUACUAUCUAUAAAAUGAUAUAUUUGUCCUUGGACUCUAAAUGUGUAGAUACUACAAUUUCUUCUCGCUAGCUCUUUAUCAUACGUGACACCAAGUGAAGUAGAUGCAAACAAGUUAUUGUACGUUCUAAUAUAAGUUCGAAAAUUUUCAGAUUCUUCAGUAUUUCCAAAGUAUAACUUCGAUAAUUCAGUUGCCAUUUUAUGAUAUGUCAACCUUAUUGAACCAUUGUUACAGCAAAAUCCUGGAGGUUCAUAUUCAAACUUCUUUGCAUGACAAAAUUGACAAUUUGGGACUCUUUUUAGAGCAACAUACUCACUUCGUUGCUCUUUAGUGACCAGGCAUACCUUUUUGGCCCGCCUAUGAGCUGAAUAUGUAAGAAGUAUCAUUAGGAAAAAAGGAGCACCAAGGAAUACGUAUGGUGGACAUUAUUGUAACAUUAAAUUUGUGCAAACCUUUGAUUGGUAUGGUGUUCAAGGUAACAUGACGCAGGUUAGAUGUACCCGAUGUGGACCUUAUUGUACAAAUAGUCACAAUUUACAGUAAUGUAUAAAAAAUAUGUCAUUCUGAAAAGAGUAUAAUCUGAAUGUAGGUUUACCUGCUUCACGAAUGAUGGGGGGUCCAAUGUACCCUUUCCUUUGUCUAAAUUAGGAGAUGACGUAGUCAUACAGGCUUUAUAGCUAGUAGCUGGUAAAAAAAUAGCCAAAAUGUUUAAAAGCGUACAACGAACCCUCAAUAGAUGCAAAAUAGUGUGUAAAAGAGCAUGUAGUAUUUAUGUUUUUUCGUUUGUAGAUACAUAUAAGUAAAUAAGCUGCGCUAUUCAAUCUACAAGCAAAAUAAGCAUCGUUAUAUUAAUAAUAUUCUCCGUAUAAAUAUGAUUACAACAACAUAUAACCAAAAAGGUAGCAAAAAAGGUUCUCGUAUGGUUACCUGUUUCAGAAAUGAUAGGGGGAUCCAAUAUACCUUUGCCUUUUUCUAAAUUAUCCUGCGAUGUAGCCGUGCAAGCUUGAUGGCUGGCAACUGGUAAACAGAAUAGUAAAGACGCUUAAAAACAUACAGUGAAGCCUCUGUAGGUGCAAAAUAAAGUGCAUUAGACCACAUAGUAUUUGAGUAUUUUAGUUUAUAGGCACAUAUAAGAUAAAUAAAGUAUCAUACUAAGUUUCCAAGCAAAAUACAUAAGCACCAUUUGUGUUAAUAAUAUAUGGUGUGUAAAUAUGAGUACAAUAAUAUAACCAUUUUCAGGAAGUGAAGGAGGUUCUCAUAUGGUAAGACCGGGUUGUUUCAGAAAUCCUGUUUUGUCCCAAGAUGAUAUUGACUGCUCUGGGACAACAAAAAUCAACCUUUGAAGAAGGUUGUGCGUAGUAGAAUCUUGUCUUCUCAUACGCCGCGAUAGCAACAUCACUUCCCAUCUAUGAGCAGAUAUUUGGUUUUGCGUAUCACGCCAUUUGAGUUGCAUUGCAACCUUUCUUUUUUCUGCGUAAGAGCACUUGUUUGCUUCUUUGGAAUCCAUCAGCUAUACAAGUUCAACUUCUUUUUAUCUGUAAAAUAUUUUCAGCCCAAAUUUUUCAUGAAAUAUUCAAGCCUAAAAAUGUGUCAUCGCCUGCCGCUUAUCCAAAAUUAAAAUUACCGCCAAUGAUAAGACUGAUUCAAUCAAGAAUUUUCUGAAGCACAUGACAUAUUAAAAUUCUUGUGCACAAAGGCUUGGCAUGCCAUAAAAGAUACAACAGAGAAACAGAAGAUGACAAGAAAGCUCACAACAAAUUAGCACACCUAGUAUCAGAAAUUGUUCCCAAUUUAUUCUUUUCUUUCUUUCUUUCUUCUUCUUUAACACAUCAACGUUCAUUUAGUUGUUUGUCAUCCAAAAAUAAUAUAAUUUCUUUAGCUUAGUGAUGUGGGGUGGACGAAAGGAACAAGAAAAGAGAGCUCUUGUUAGUGUAGUUAAACCUAUAACAAUAAUAGAAAUCUUGAAAAAAGGCCUAAUUCAUUCAGGAAUUGCCUCGAACACCUAAAGAACAAAGGUGAUAGACACUUUAAACUUUCUUUGAAGCAAAGCCUUAGCAUUCCAUGAAAGAUUAAAUAGAGAAACAGAAGAUAAGAAGAAGAAAACUCACAAAAAACAAUGACCCAAAGAGAAAAAUUGGCGAUAAGAUCAACAACUGCGAGGAGCGAAAAGGUGGAACUGGGAAACUGCAAUUUCCAGACGUUGGAGCUCUUAAACUAUUGCCAGAUUGGUUUUUGAUACAGAGAACCUGCAUCUGCCAAGUUUCUCAAAGAGCUGUCUGCCUGGUAUCGGUAAGAAAAAGAAGAGUAAGAAG
rnacentral:lncRNA from 1 species